CUUCAGUGAUGAUACGAUGACGAGUCGGAACGGGACAAUGUCCGUCUCUGUAGAUUCUGGGUCAGAUGGCACGUUCUGUGCAACUGAUCUUAGUUCUUCAAAGCGGCGUGUUCUUUUUGGUUGAAGACAUAGAGGCAUUUGUCUGAGAAGG